GAUGAAGAACGCAGUAAAAUGCGAUAAGUAAUGUGAAUUGCAGAAUUCAGUGAAUCAUCGAAUCUUUGAACGCACAUUGCGCCCGCCAGUAUUCUGGCGGGCAUGCCUGUUCGAGCGUCAUUUCAACCCUCAAGCACAGCUUGGUGUUGGGACUCGCGUUAAUUCGCGUUCCCCAAAUUGAUUGGCGGUCACGUCGAGCUUCCAUAGCGUAGUAGUAAAACCCUCGUUACUGGUAAUCGUCGCGGCCACGCCGUUAAACCCCAACUUCUGAAUGUUGACCUCGGAUCAUGUAGGAAUACCCGCUGAACUUAAGCAUAUCAAUAAGCGGAGGA
rnacentral:misc_RNA from 1 species